UGUUCUCAACUGUAGAAAGAUGUGAUCAUAAUGUUGAAAUGUAAGAGUGAUUUUAUAUGAAAUUGUGAUUAGUACAGAUCUUGGUAGUAGUAGCAAAUAUUCAAGUGAGAGAAAGAAUCCAUUAAGAUUCUGUGUGUAAAACUUGAAGACUGAAGUGGAGAAAGGUUCCAUAAAAACAGUAAUUGAAUAUGGGUGAGUCGAUCCUAAGUGAUAGGUUAAACACCAUCUGAAAGUGAAAGGAAGCGAAAGGGAAUCAGGUCAAAAUUCCUGAACAACGAUAGCUUUGCAUCGAGGCAACUCCAACCAACAAAUUUGUGAUUCAGAAAAAUAAAUAAAUAGUCUUUAAAGAGUUUUCUUUUCUUUUUAAU
rnacentral:rRNA from 1 species